AGAGUUUGAUCAUGGCUCAGAGCGAACGCUGGCGGCGUGCUUAACACAUGCAAGUCGAGUGCGCGUUUCCGUAGCAAUACGGAGAUGGCGCACGGCGCACGGGUGCGUAACACGUGGGUAAUCUGCCCUCUGAUGGGGAAUAACUCGCCGAAAGGCGAGCUAAUUCCGCAUAACAUUCCUUGGACUCCGGUUCGAGGAUUCAAAGGCGUAAGUCGUCGGAGGUGGAGCCCGCGCACGAUUCGCUAGUUGGUGAGGUAAUGGCUCACCAAGGCUAUGAUCGUUAGCUGGUCUGAGAGGAUGGCCAGCCACACUGGAACUGAGACACGGUCCAGACUCCUACGGGAGGCAGCAGUGGGGAAUCUUGCACAAUGGGCGAAAGCCUGAUGCAGCGACGCCGCGUGGGGGAUGAAGCUUCUCGGAGUGUAAACCCCUUUCGACCGGGACGAAUACCUCGCAAGAGGGGUGACGGUACCGGUAUAAGAAGCCCCGGCUAACUACGUGCCAGCAGCCGCGGUAAGACGUAGGGGGCCAGCGUUGCUCGGAAUUACUGGGUGUAAAGGGUUCGUAGGCGGUGUGGCAAGUCGGGAGUGAAAUCCCUGGGCUUAACCCAGGGGCUGCUUCUGAAACUGCCGUGCUAGAGUGUGGGAGAGGCGCGUGGAAUUGCAGGUGUAGCGGUGAAAUGCGUAGAUAUCUGCAGGAACACCCGUGGCGAAAGCGGCGCGCUGGACCACUACUGACGCUGAGGAACGAAAGCUAGGGGAGCAAACAGGAUUAGAUACCCUAGUAGUCC
rnacentral:rRNA from 1 species